AGAGUUUGAUCAUGGCUCAGGAUGAACGCUGGCGGCGUGCUUAACACAUGCAAGUCGAACGAAGCACUUUAUUUGAUUUCCUUCGGGACUGAUUAUUUUGUGACUGAGUGGCGGACGGGUGAGUAACGCGUGGGUAACCUGCCUUGUACAGGGGGAUAACAGUUGGAAACGGCUGCUAAUACCGCAUAAGCGCACAGCAUCACAUGAUGCAGUGUGAAAAACUCCGGUGGUAUAAGAUGGACCCGCGUUGGAUUAGCUAGUUGGUGAGGUAACGGCCCACCAAGGCGACGAUCCAUAGCCGACCUGAGAGGGUGACCGGCCACAUUGGGACUGAGACACGGCCCAAACUCCUACGGGAGGCAGCAGUGGGGAAUAUUGCACAAUGGGCGAAAGCCUGAUGCAGCGACGCCGCGUGAGCGAAGAAGUAUUUCGGUAUGUAAAGCUCUAUCAGCAGGGAAGAUAAUGACGGUACCUGACUAAGAAGCACCGGCUAAAUACGUGCCAGCAGCCGCGGUAAUACGUAUGGUGCAAGCGUUAUCCGGAUUUACUGGGUGUAAAGGGAGCGCAGGCGGUGCGGCAAGUCUGAUGUGAAAGCCCGGGGCUCAACCCCGGUACUGCAUUGGAAACUGUCGUACUAGAGUGUCGGAGGGGUAAGCGGAAUUCCUAGUGUAGCGGUGAAAUGCGUAGAUAUUAGGAGGAACACCAGUGGCGAAGGCGGCUUACUGGAGCGCAACUGACGCUGAAGCUCGAAAGUGCGGGUAUCGAACAGGAUUAGAUACCCUGGUAGUCCGCACGGUAAACGAUGGAUGCCCGCUGUUGGUCUGAAUAGGUCAGCGGCCAAGCGAAAGCAUUAAGCAUCCCACCUGGGGAGUACGCCGGCAACGGUGAAACUCAAAGGAAUUGACGGGGGCCCGCACAAGCGGAGGAACAUGUGGUUUAAUUCGAUGAUACGCGAGGAACCUUACCCGGGCUUGAAUUGCAGAGGAAGGAUUUGGAGACAAUGACGCCCUUCGGGGCCUCUGUGAAGGUGCUGCAUGGUUGUCGUCAGCUCGUGCCGUGAGGUGUCGGCUUAAGUGCCAUAACGAGCGCAACCCCUCUCCUUAGUUGCCAUCAGGUUAAGCUGGGCACUCUGGGGACACUGCCACCGUAAGGUGUGAGGAAGGUGGGGAUGACGUCAAAUCAGCACGGCCCUUACGUCCGGGGCUACACACGUGUUACAAUGGCAGGUACAGAGAGACGGUUGUACGUAAGUACGAUCAAAUCCUUAAAGCCUGUCUCAGUUCGGACUGGGGUCUGCAACCCGACCCCACGAAGCUGGAUUCGCUAGUAAUCGCGCAUCAGCCAUGGCGCGGUGAAUACGUUCCCGGGCCUUGUACACACCGCCCGUCAAGCCAUGGAAGCCGGGGGCGCCUAAAGUCCGUGACCGUAAGGAGCGGCCUAGGGCGAAACUGGUAAUUGGGGCUAAGUCGUAACAAGGUA
rnacentral:rRNA from 1 species